UACGAAGGGUGCAAGCGUUACUCGGAAUUACUGGGCGUAAAGCGUGCGCAGGCGGCGCCGCAAGUCAGGCGUGAAAUCCCCGAGCUUAACUUGGGAAUGGCGCUUGAAACUACGGUGCUGGAGUGUGGCAGAGGGAGGUGGAAUUCCACGUGUAGCGGUGAAAUGCGUAGAGAUGUGGAGGAACACCGAUGGCGAAGGCAGCCUCCUGGGCCAACACUGACGCUGAGGCGCGAAAGCUAGGGGAGCGAACGGG
rnacentral:rRNA from 1 species